rnacentral:tRNA from 1 species
GAGGGUAUAGCUCAGUGGCAAAGUGCAUGCUUAGCACACACAAGGUCCUGGGUUCAAUUCCCAGUACCUCCA